ACAACAUGGUGAGGGUAUUUUCUAAUCAGUUCUUUUAAUCUCUUCCAAGUCUUAUGAAAUAUCUCUCUAUCCAAUUGGAAAAAACUAGUUAUGACUUUUUUGAUUUG